CAACUCAUACAAAGAAACAUAAAAAUUACUAAGUUUGGAGGAAGAAAGAUGAAACCCGAUGAAUUCCGGCCUCCACGGUGGCUCUAUACUCGUGUUUUCCUCUCAAAAACGUCCUCCUUGCCUCUUGCCUAUCUAUUUCUUGCCCUAAACUAUGAAAACCCUUCAUUAUUUAACCUUGGGCGAGCUUGACUUUAUAUAGGUUAAGUGGGUUUCUCUCCAGAUUUCCGAUUUUACCCCUAAAUAACGUUUUUCCGGAUCGAACACGCGCGAGCUCGUGCAUAACUUCGCGUGUUUCUUCGUGCAUGAUUCUGCCUCGGCCUUUCUUACACGCAAACUCCUGCGCGCCUUUGCGCGUUUCUUCGCGCACCUGGAGCUUGAUUUCGUCCAUUUUUUCAUCUCGUCCUUGCGCGCACUCAACUCCGAAGGGUUGUUCUUGCUCAUAAAUCAUUCCAAUAUCCUCUUGAAAGCAUCAUAUAGGCUCCUCAUCCUGCAAUGUAUACAUAUCACAAUUAAAGCCUAUUUUUCAUCAAUUAACCACAAUAUGUCAUUGGAAUAUAAUUAAGCAGAAGCAUAAACAAUAGCUAAAUCACCUAGAUUUCGCCUAUUAUCAACCAUUAUCUUCACCGGGCUUUCAUGGUAGUCAACAUGGUGGCUUACUAGUUGUUGCACCCUCGGUCUUUUAUGGUAGUCAACAUACUGACUCACCAGCUGCUGCACCCCCGGGCUUUCAUGGUAGUCAGCAUACUGGCUCACCAGCUGCUGCACCCCCGAGCUUUCAUGGUAGUCAGCAUACUGGCUCACCAGCUGCUACACCUCCGAGCUUUCAUGGUAGUCAGCAUACUGGCUCACCAGCUGCUACACCUCCGAGCUUUCAUGGUAGUCAACAUGAUGGUGCAUCUUUUGUUGCUCCAUCAUCUUCCAGUCCAUCAUCAUCAUCCAUUCCCAGCAUAUCUAGGUUUGAUAUUGGAGGCUCGCGCCCAACUACAUCUAGUGUUGCUUCUGCACCAUCUCGUAGACGCAGGCAGAAUCUUGGAGGGGAUGUACAAUUUGAUAGUUAUAAUCGAUUGAUAAUCGUCCCCCACAAGGCUGGGUUUUUGCCAUCCUUUCAAGCUACACAUUUGGUUACAGAUUCUAUGAAGCCAUUUUAUCAUGACCCGUGGACUUCUUGGAGAAAGAUAUCGUAAAACAUCAGAGAGCAAAUGUGGAAUCAAUUUAGGACAAGGUGUACAUGGCAUCCUCAGCAUCAAAAUGUAAUAAAUGGUAUUUUCGAGAAGAAAGCUGCUAUACGGAUUAAAGAUACUAUGUGCGCUGCUCGGAAUUCCGGUAAUAUGCCGGAAUGGUUAAGAGAAGAUGUUUGGGAUAAACUUCUUGAGAAAUAGAAUACCCCAGAAUGAAAGGCAAAGAGUGAACAAGCAAAGGCAAACCAUGCCUCUAAAAAAGGUGGCUCGUUGCACACAGGAGGAAAAGGAAAGAGGGCAAGAUAUGAGUUACGCUGAGGUCUUUGAGGAGUUGCAUAAGAAAAAGAAAAAGGAUGGUACAAUAGAAUACUGGUGGAAACGCGUGCGUCAGACACAUAUGAAGAUUAUCAUAAAAGGUUGGAAGAAUGACAACAAACUCAGCCUCCUUCAACUCAACCAACACCUGAUGAUAUGGCUUCAUUGUGGACAGAGGCAGCGAGUGGAGCAAACAAAGGCAGAGUCUACGAACUAGGAGUACAUCGACCUACAGGUCAUCCAAAUCCACUCUUAGCCACUUCUUCUUCUCCUCAAAAUCAAGAACAGAUGGAAGAUAUGAGAAACGAAAUUCGUGAAUUGAAGCAACAAUUGGACUCCCAAUACGGAACAUUUGUUAAGAUGCAGAAAUUCAUGCGUAAACAUGGGCAUAAUUUAUCUGAUGAUGAGGAUGAACAAGCUGAAUCUGAUGUGUAGUAGUUUAGUUGUGAUGUUUUGGUUGAUUGGUGAACUUGAUUGUGAGAGACAACUUAAUGUACUGCUUUUAAACUUGAAUAUGGGCUGCUAUUUGGAUGUUU